rnacentral:rRNA from 1 species
GGAGUCUAACAUGUGCGCGAGUCAUUGGGUUGCAAACCUAAAGGCGGAAUGAAAGUGAAGCGAGCUUUGCUUUUAUUAGGGAGGAUGGCCGUGCUGCUUUCGAGGCGGCGGCCCGCACUCCCGGGGCGUCUACUGCUCGUCGAGCGGAGGCGCACCAAGAGCGUACACGUUAGGACCCGAAAGAUGGUGAACUAUGCCUGGCCAGGACGAAGCCAGGGGAAACCCUGGUGGAGGUCCGUAGCGCUUCUGACGUGCAAAUCGAUCGCAGGAGCUGGGUAUAGGGGCGAAAGACUAAUCGAACCAUCUAGUAGCUGGUUCCCUCCGAAGUUUCCCUCAGGAUAGCUGGCGCUCAUGUGAGACGAGUCUCAUCCGGUAAAGCGAAUGAUUAGAGGCCUUGGGGUCGAAACGACCUCAACCUAUUCUCAAACUUUAAAUGGAUGAGAACUCCGGCUUGCUUAAAGGUGAAGCCGGAGAUUCGGAUCAGAGUGCCCAGUGGGCCAAUUUUG